CCAGACUCCUACGGGAGGCAGCAGUGGGGAAUAUUGCACAAUGGGGGGAACCCUGAUGCAGCGACGCCGCGUGGGUGAAGGAGCACCCCGGUGCGUAAAGCCCUAUCGGCAGGGAAGAAACAGACGGUACCUGACUAAGAAGCCCCGGCUAACUACGUGCCAGCAGCCGCGGUAAUACGUAGGGGGCAAGCGUUAUCCGGAUUCACUGGGUGUAAAGGGAGCGUAGACGGCGACGCAAGUCUGGAGUGAAAGCCCGGGGCCCAACCCCGGGACUGCUCUGGGAACUGUGCGGCUGGAGUGCGGGAGGGGCAGGCGGAAUUCCUGGUGUAGCGGUGAAAUGCGUAGAUAUCAGGAGGAACACCGGCGGCGAAGGCGGCCUGCUGGACCGUGACUGACGUUGAGGCUCGAGAGCGUGGGGAGCAAACAGGAUUAGAUACCCGCGUA
rnacentral:rRNA from 1 species